rnacentral:rRNA from 1 species
CCUACGGGUGGCUGCAGUGGGGAAUAUUGCACAAUGGGGGCAACCCUGAUGCAGCGACGCCGCGUGAGUGAAGAAGUAAUUCGUUAUGUAAAGCUCUAUCAGCAGGGAAGAAAAUGACGGUACCUGAGUACUAAGCCCCGGCGAACUCCGUGCCAGCAGCCGCGGUCAUACGUAGGGGGCAAGCGGUAGCCGGAUUUACUGGGUGUAAAGGGAGCGUAGCCGGCAGUGCAAGUCUGGAGUGAAAGGCGGGGGCUCAACCCACGGACUGCACUUGAUACUGUACGGCUGGAGUGCAGGAGAGGUGAGUAGAAUUCCAAGUGUAGCGGUGAAAUGCGUAGAUAUGAGGAGGAACACCAGUGGCGAAGGCGGCUUACUGGAC